UACAGAGGUCUCGAGCGUUGUUCGGAUUCAUUGGGCUUAAAGGGUGCGUAGGCGGCGCGACAAGUUGGGUGUGAAAUCCCUCGGCUCAACCGAGGAACUGCGCCCAAAACUGUCGUGCUCGAGGGAGACAGAGGUGAGCGGAACUUAGGGUGGAGCGGUGAAAUGCGUUGAUAUCCUAAGGAACACCGGUGGCGAAAGCGGCUCACUGGGUCUCUUCUGACGCUGAGGCACGAAAGCUAGGGUAGCGAACGGG
rnacentral:rRNA from 1 species